AUGAUUUAUUUAGGACAAACAACCGAGUGUCCACCAAGCUUAACGUGCACCCUCAAUUCAAUCGUGAUACAAAUCAUCGAAAAAUCGAAGGCGAUUCAUUCUCUCUCCGACGACGCAACCCUUAUCUCCGGCAAACUUUCAUUUCCUAGCUUCUUGCACG